rnacentral:lncRNA from 1 species
CAAGUUUGGAAGCAUCCGGCAAGGCUCCAUUAAAAACAACAUUAUUUCUAAGCUUCCAUAAGCACCAUGUAGUGGCCAGCCAAAUCAAAUGACGAAUCCGAUUACCUUUUUUUGAUUUAACCAAAGAACCAAAGGAUAAAAAGUGAUUCCAACCUUCCUAGUCUGCCGGUAAACUCUGUCCUAACCAUCUAUAUAUAGUUUCCCACACACCUUUAACAAAAGAGCAAUUGAAGAAUAGGUGGGAACAGUCUUCCAUAUGCAUAUAACAAAAAAUACAAGAAAUAUCAUGCGGAUUAUUCAAUAUACCUCUAUGAUGAAGGGCUGCCCGCGUAGAUAGCUUCUCUAGAAGCAAUCUCCAACCAAAAAUAUUAACUUUAGAUGGAACAUCGUUUUUCCAAAGUUUUUGGAUAGCAUCCAAAACAUUUGAAUAUUGAAGCAACAAACUAUAACACGAUUUAACCGUAAAGAGGCCAACCGAAUCCGG